rnacentral:rRNA from 1 species
CCUACGGGGGGCAGCAGUGAGGAAUAUUGGUCAAUGGCCGGAAGGCUGAACCAGCCAAGCCGCGUGAAGGACGAAGGUGCCAAGCAUUGUAAACUUCUUUUGUCAAGGGACAAAAUCAGGCUCGAGAGCCUGACCGAGGGUACUUGAAGAAAAAGUAUCAGCUAACUCCGUGCCAGCAGCCGCGGUAAUACGGAGGAUGCGAGCGUUAUCCGGAUUUAUUGGGUUUAAAGGGUGCGUAGGCGGACUGUUAAGUCAGCGGUAAAAGCCCGGGGCUCAACCCCGGCGAGCCGUUGAAACUGGCGGUCUUGAGAUGUCGAGAGGUAUGCGGAAUGCGCAGUGUAGCGGUGAAAUGCUUAGUUAUUGCGCAGAACUCCGAUUGCGAAGGCAGCAUACCGGCGGCGAUCUGACGCUGAGGCACGAAAGCGUGGGUAUCGAACAGGAUUAGAUACCCCUGUAGUC